rnacentral:lncRNA from 1 species
CUGGAAAGCAUCACGAGGCUUUCAAGAUGCUUGGCACAUGUAAAAAAACACACAAAAUAAUAAAAUAAAAUAGAAACAUAAGCAAAUAUAGCAUGAUCUAAGAGUAAACUUGAGGAUGAAUUCUUCUACAGGUAACAUAUGUGUUAUGAUCUAAGAGUAAACUUGAGGAUGAAUUCUUCUACAGGUAACAUAUGUGUUUUCCAUCUUAUUGUUCAGAAGUUCAUUCCAAUUGAAUAUAGCGAAAUUGUAAACACUCCAACCUAUUUAUCCGUUAUUAUGGCCUAUUUAUGAAGAAAUCAACAUGUCGGUGCAGCUCAUCUAGCUUAAGCCACUAAUUUCUCAUCUACAG